CUCAACAUGUAAAGAUGACAUUGGCAUGUACACCCAUGAAUCACAGCUACACAUUUUCAACAGACCACAAAUUACCCGAGUGCUGAAGGAAGAUGAAGAGCAGGAACAGAUAUUCCAGAGGCCAGAUACAGGUCAAAUAUCUACACAUUUUAGAGAGCCUGCAGCACCAAUCUCCUGCAGCUUCAAACAGCUCCAGUGUUUCCACAUUACUGCAGCUGGCCUCUGACCUCAGACUAAGAGGCAUUCACUCCUGCUUAUACCAAAUGACUGAAACAAGCCCUCUGGAAGAGAGAAGUGGUCACAGAGAGUCUUCAAAAUCUUAUGGUGUAUAAAUUCUGUGGAAACUGGCUGUGAUCA